rnacentral:rRNA from 1 species
AGCGAACGCUGGCGGCAGGCCUAACACAUGCAAGUCGAACGGACCCUUCGGGGUUAGUGGCGGACGGGUGAGUAACACGUGGGAACGUGCCUUUAGGUUCGGAAUAGCUCCUGGAAACGGGUGGUAAUGCUGAAUGUGCCGUUCGGGGGAAAGAUUUAUCGCCUUUAGAGCGGCCCGAGUCUGACUAGCUAGUUGGUGAGGAAAGGGCUAACCAAGGCGACGAUCAGUAGCUGGUCUGAGAGGAAGACCAGCCACAUUGGGACGGAGACACGGCCCAAACUCCUACGGGAGGCAGCAGUGGGGAAUCUUGCGCAAUGGGCGAAAGCCUGACGCAGCCAUGCCGCGUGGAUGAUGAAGGUCUUAGGAUUGUAAAAUCCUUUCACCGGUGAAGAUAAUGACUGUAGCCGGAGAAGAAGCCCCGGCUAACUUCGUGCCAGCCGCCGCCGUAA